rnacentral:rRNA from 1 species
CCUACGGGAGGCUGCAGUGGGGAAUAUUGGACAAUGGGGGCAACCCUGAUCCAGCCAUGCCGCGUGUGUGAAGAAGGCCCUCGGGUUGUAAAGCACUUUCAGUGAGGAAGAACGCCUGGUGGUUAAUACCCAUCAGGAAAGACAUCACUCACAGAAGAAGCACCGGCUAACUCCGUGCCAGCAGCCGCGGUAAUACGGAGGGUGCGAGCGUUAAUCGGAAUUACUGGGCGUAAAGCGCGCGUAGGUGGCUUGAUAAGCCGGUUGUGAAAGCCCCGGGCUCAACCUGGGAACGGCAUCCGGAACUGUCAAGCUAGAGGGCAGGAGAGGAAGGUAGAAUUCCCGGUGUAGCGGUGAAAUGCGUAGAGAUCGGGAGGAAUACCAGUGGCGAAGGCUGCCUUCUGGACUGACACUGACACUGAGGUGCGAAAGCGUGGGUAGCAAACAGGAUUAGAUACCCGUGUAGUC